rnacentral:tRNA from 1 species
GGAUUGUAGCUCAGUGGUAGAGUAUUUGCCUAGCAUGUGUGAGGCCCUGGGUUCAAUCCCUAGCACCA